CACGUAGGGCGCAAGCGUUGUCCGGAAUUAUUGGGCGUAAAGAGCUCGUAGGUGGUUCGGUAAGUCGGAUGUGAAAUCUCCAGGCUCAACCUGGAGGGGUCAUUCGAUACUGCCGUGACUAGAGGUCGGUAGGGGAGUGUGGAAUUCCUGGUGGAGCGGUGAAAUGCGCAGAUAUCAGGAGGAACACCCGUAGCGAAGGCGGCACUCUGGGCCGAUACUGACACUGAGGAGCGAAAGCGUGGGGAGCGAACAGG
rnacentral:rRNA from 1 species